AUCUUUCUUGUUCUUCGUUUUUGCAUUGGUUGCUUGAUUACUUUUAGAGGUUUAGAAAUAAUCUAUGUUGAAGUUUCUGAUAGUGUCGCUUUGAUUUUCAUUCUUAGACAAUUGAAUCCAGAAUUGGGUAACUUUUGAUCAUGGUAGUGUUUCCUUAUAGUGCCAGAUUUUCGUGUAUACUGCCCGAAAGUCGGUUCGUAUUGUGGAGGUUCGUGGUU